rnacentral:rRNA from 1 species
UACGUAGGGUGCGAGCGUUAAUCGGAAUGACUGGGCGUAAAGCGUGCGCAGGCGGUUUUCCAAGGCAGAUGUGAAAUCCCCGGGCUCAACCUGGGAAUGGCAUUUGUGACUGGAAGGCUAGAGUGUGUCAGAGGGGGGUAGAAUUCCACGUGUAGCAGUGAAAUGCGUAGAGAUGUGGAGGAAUACCGAUGGCGAAGGCAGCCCCCUGGGAUAACACUGACGCUCAUGCACGAAAGCGUGGGGAGCAAACAGG